CACAAGAGAAGCUAACGUCACAGAGGAGGACCCCGAACCCCGGGAGCUUGAGGCUCAGACAACUCGGGGCGCCUCCUGGAGGAAAGGGUGUGAGGCUGCCAUGCUGAACGUCUCUUGGGUCCUCCGGACGAGGUGCUGCAGCUGCCCCAGGUCACAGGGCAGCUCCAGAGGUGAGAAUCUGAAAAGAAGGCCACAUUUUCCAUGUCUACUUGCCUUCCUCAGACAUCCACAGGCCAUGCUUCUAGUUUCUGAAUGGUGUUAUGAGGAAGUUUUUCAUUAUGUAAUAGACUGAGGUCCAGAAUGCAGCAUGCCAAGCUUGUUUGAAAACCAUUGCAGUAACUCAGAUCACAGACCACCACCCCAAAUUAAAUGUUGUGGCACACCUACGUAGUCUA